ensembl:snRNA
AUGUUGUAUGAAAAGAGAGAAGGUUAGCACUCCCCUUGACAAGGAUGGAAGAGGCCCUCAGGCCUGACAACACACAUACAGUUAAGGCAUUGCCACCUACUUCUUGAUAUCUAACCAUCAUUUUUU